UUCAGGUAAUAUCUGAGUUCACAAGUGCAGAAAGAGAAAGUGCCUCACAGGAUGAUUAGGGAAUAGAGCAAAGGGAGUAGCACGCACAAAGUCUCGGAUGUAAGAACGGACUUUAUAUAAUUGAGAAACAAAAAGAAAGCGUCAUCCAAAAGACCAUGGAGAUGGUAAAAUAGUCGAAAGGGAGCUCGGUUAGCGAUAUCAGUUUGCAAAGUGGGAAGAGAUAAUCUCUGAAGAGGACCUCAGGUUCUCUUUCUCUUGGAAGAGGGAAAGGGUCUGGGUGCGGUGUCAGCCAUCUGCCUCACAGGGACCCAGAGACGCAACUGCCUCCUGUGAAAUGCAGGAGACCCCUUGGGCUGUGGAGAAGUAGGCAGAAUGAGAGUGGCGCCUCUAAUGUGUCGGAAAAGUCAAGACUCAAGUCCCAGGAAGACGUGAGUCAUAAGCUGGCCUCAAUACACUGAAGUAUAUUCAGCAUUAUAAAUACACUGAAACACCAAAAAAUACUGGAAUGCACAUAAUUUGGAGAGCGAAAAUGGCUCGAGAACAUGAAGUCUCAUUAUCCAUAGCUUUAAGAGGACCCUGUGUGAGCUCAUGGGACUCAACUGCUUCGGGUGAGAGAGAAAUGAACACUUUACCAGGGGUACAUUGCUGGAAUUUUGUUGAUACACAUCACGUACCAACCCGAGGUUAUGCUAAAUGAGUGACUAAAAUGAUCCUUGGGGACUUGCAGGAUACAUGGGCUCCCUUAGCAACCCAAGUGCCUAAAGCCAGCCCUGUUUAUCACAUUUUCUAGCCUCCCCUUAUUCAUAUCAUCUUAUCUCCUGGAGCCCAUGGUAUAGUCUUGUACCUAGAAGGCCAUUUUGCUUUUCUCAAAUAACGGGUAUAUUUUACUCUCAACAUUUUUUUUUCCUACCAUUGAGAUACAAUUUAAAAAAUCUCCAUGGGGUCAUGCUAUAUUAUGCAACGGUACUUUCAGUUCCCCAGAAGUAUAUGAAAUCUAAAGGAUUGAAUUGAAAAUAUGAGAUCACCUUUUCUUAGUUGCUGAUAGAAAUGGGACAAUUAGCUCUGCCUUAUCCGUACACUGUGGGGCAUAUUUGGUUGGUGGUUGGUAAUUUUCAAUAAUACCCUCUCUGGAGCUUUCCUGUCUCUGAUUAUCAGCUGAUAAUCUUUAAAUCCCUUUGCCCUUUUCUCUUUAAUGCGGAUACUUAAUCUCCUUCGUUUAUAGGUUUAUGUUAUAUUCAGCUAGUGCUUGUCAGAACUGCAGCUUCUAUUUUUUUUCCCCCCCUUGGGCAUUUUCAUCUGCAGGGAAAGCAACUUAGUUUAUGUCGAAAUUAUGUCCAUGUAGCUCACUGAAAAGUGAAGAGUUGAAGUUAUCUCUUUUGAACUCUACAAGACAUUGUUUAAUAGGUAUUUUACUGCACCAUUGAAAUGGAUAUACACUGUGCUAGGCACUGGGCAAGUCUGCUGUCUACAACACGCUUCUGGGCCCCAGUUUAGAGAACUUGAGGGCAUCACAUACCGAAGUGUGUGCCCUAUAAGGUAACAAUGAAAGAAUUAAUGUUUGAAUUGAGUUUUGUUUUGUUCAUACUAGCUAGGAAUCCUGGGGGAGAGUUACUUGGUUUCUUUAUUUGCAUAAUUAGGUACAACUAAUAAUAGAGUCUUAUCUGAGGAAGAAAUAGAAGCAUAAACAUAAAUUUCUUAGAAUAAUGUUGGCACAUGGUAGGCAUUAAAUAGAGGUCCAUUAUUUUUACUACUUCCCUUUGAGCAGUCAAAAUAAAGGGGUUGUGCUUAGACCUAGGAGGACUCUUAGCUCCUCAUUAAGCUCCUAUCUAAGCUCUUAGCCUUACUCAAGAACUAAGGUACCUUUCUUGAGUCAAAGUAGAAAAUAUGAGCUACUACAAAGGUGGUGAAUAACCUGGGUGGAUCUUUAUGGAGUAGUAAAGUCAUUCUUUGUCUUUGCUGUACUGUUAAAGUGGGCAUGUGGGUACACAUGUGUGUGUAUGUCUGUGUUGGGGAGCAUGCUUAGAGAGAGCUCUGAUCUGCAUUUUCCCCCAACCCACCAAUAAUUGAGUAAUUCUAUUAAAUCCAUUGUAUUAUUAUGAUCUUUGGUUGCAAUAUCCUCUAAUUUUGACUCUAUAUAAAGAUAAUUUGCUGGAAGUUAUGAGGAAUAUCCACUCUCCAAUGGAAUGGUGAGUGGCUAGACCCAGAGAAGCAGAAAACACAGCAGUCUCGUAACUUCUGGCCACUAAUGCUGGAAUAAACGAGCUCCACCUGCUUUCUUCUUCAUUCCUCUCAGAGCAAAAAUCCCUGUUAUAGUCCCACCCCUGCUACUGCCAGGGUCUGCUACUCCCCCCACUUUAAAGGCAUGAAAGUCAACUCAUACCACAAUUCUUGAAACAGACUCACAAAUAAUUAAAUGACAAAUACUCAGGAAGAUGCAAAUAAGGGGAUGCCCUGGGUGAGGACACCCACCACCAGCAAGGCAGGGGCAGGGAGAGAAAGAGGAAGAGAACAUGGUCCUUUGGCAGCAAGAACAAUGCUGAAAAUGUUAAUAAUGUUGAGCGCUCACUCGCUGAGGGUAGUCUCUCCUUUUGCACUGAAUGGAGGUCAGAGGUUGGGGCGAACUGUCUCACACAUGAUUCUUGAGACCAAACAGAAAUGAGCAGGCUGGGCAUCUGACAAUGUUCAUCAUGGCGGGUGUUGAUGGUUUGACCAAAUGCAGUUAUGUUGUAAUGACUUCACGGUGGGUGUGGAUGGUUUUACCAAAUGCAGUUGUGUUGUAAUGACUUCACGGUGGGUGUGGAUGGUUUGACCAAACGCAGUUCUGUUGUAAUGACUUCACGGUGGGUGUGGAUGGUUUGACCAAAUGCAGUUGUGUUGUAAUGACUUCACGGUGGGUGUGGAUGGUUUGACCAAAUGCAGUUGUGUUGUAAUGACUUCACGGUGGUUGUGGAUGGUUUGAUCAAACGCAGUUAUGUUGUAAUGACUUCACGGUGGGUGUGGAUGGUUUGACCAAAUGCAGUUGUGUUGUAAUGACUUCACAGUGGGUGUGGAUGGUUUGACCAAAUGCAGUUAUGUUGUAAUGACUUCACGGUGGGUGUGGAUGGUUUGACCAAAAGCAGUUGUGUUGUAAUGACUUCACGGUGGGUGUGGAUGGUUUGACCAAACGCAGUUAUGUUGUAAACACUUCACGGUGGGUGUGGAUGGUUUGACCAAAGGCAGUUGUGUUGUAAUGACUUCACGGUGGGUGUGGAUGGUUUGACCAAAGGCAGUUGUGUUGUAAUGACUUCACGGUGGGUGUGGAUGGUUUGACCAAAUGCAGUUAUGUUAUAAUGACUUCACGGUGGGUGUUGAUGGUUUGAUCAAAUGUAGUUAUAGUCAUGACUUAUUUUGUCUCCCCAAAGUCCCUCUGGGAGAAAGAGAGACUGACCAAUCAUGCUCUGGUAAUGUGACCCAUAUCUACAGCUAUGGCUUUAGCUUUGACCCAUACUGCCACCAGGAUUCCACAACCAAAAGCUGGCUAUCCCCACCCCUGCAAAAAGAAAUGGGACCUGAACAAGUGAAUGCGCAGAGGAGCAGCUCCUAGCCUUGAGGGUGUGAUGACAGCCUGCCUUCAAAAUCUUUUGGAAAGUAAAUAUAUGAAAGAAGAAACAAAGAUAGUAUUCAGAUGCUUCUCUUUGAAAUCUGUACUAUAUUAAAACCUUUACAUGUUACUAAUCCUCAAAACUUUCUUUAUGUUUGUUAGAGAACAU